rnacentral:rRNA from 1 species
GGGGAAUAUUGCGCAAUGGGGGAAACCCUGACGCAGCGACGCCGCGUGAGCGAUGAAGGCCUUAGGGUUGUAAAGCUCUGUUUUAAGGGACGAAUGUUACGGGGAGUAAUAUACCCUGUAAAUGACGGUACCUUAAGAGGAAGCCCCGGCUAACUACGUGCCAGCAGCCGCGGUAAGACGUAGGGGGCGAGCGUUGUCCGGAAUUACUGGGCGUAAAGAGCACGUAGGCGGGAACUUAAGUCAGGUGUGAAAGACCGGGGCUCAACCUCGGGGGUGCACUUGAAACUGGGUUUCUUGAGGGCAGGAGAGGAAAGUAGAAUUCCUGGUGUAGCGGUGAAAUGCGUAGAAAUCAGGAGGAAUACCAGUGGCGAAGGCGACUUUCUGGACUGACCCUGACGCUGAAGUGCGAAAGCGUGGGUAGCAAACAG